rnacentral:lncRNA from 1 species
AUGAAUUCUGGAAAUGACUGUCCCUGGGUCAUUCCCAGAACUACCCAGUCAGUUCUUCUCCACUGGGCUCAAUCCAGCAGGUACAUCAAAGUGGACUUGAACGGGCAAAGAUUUCAUCUGACUUCUACGGCUUUCAAGCAACUACAUAACAGAAGGCUGCUGCACAUCAAGCCAGCAAAUAAUAAGCUCAAUAAGGCAAUGAUCCUGAUGGAGCCCGUCAGCCACCUCUGGGAGUGUGAGGAAACUGAGAUCCAGACAGGGCAGUGAUGUGCCACAUUCCGCACCAUUUCUGGAAUGGUGUGCCAUUCUGUGCCAAUGCUGAACUCUGGAGGAGGAGAGAGACAACAGAGGACACCUGACAGCGUAUGGGAAUAAGAGUGGAGACCUUACUCCGGACUCUGGUCUGGCUUGGAAGCAUUCGAGAGGGGCUAGAAGUCCCUAAUUUUGUAGGUGGGAGAGGAACAGAGAAAUACUGUUUUGUUACUAUUGUCAUUUCUGUUUUGUAGACUCAGUUGAAUACCACUAGGACGGGUCACACGAUUUUGAAUGUGUUAACACCUCGGCCAUGGAGCAGCCAUCUGGUAGGAAAGCAUUUACCCAGGCAAAGUGCUCUGGUGAUUUAGAUGAGUCAGUGACUGGGUGACAACGGCCAGAAGUCAGAAAAUGGGGAGAAGAGGCACCAUGUGGCAGAGAUUAUGCUAGAUCAGCAUUCAAACACCUGAGUGCAAGUUCCUGCCCUAUUGGUGGGCAGAUUACUUAUUACUUAUUGUCUGUGAUACUCGAGAGACAUCAGUGAAACAGGAUAAUGUCCCCAAUGCCACAGCAACAGACCCCCUCAUCAAGGCACAACCCCAUAGUUUGUAAGCUGCUGCUGCAAUCCUUUCUGCCCCUGACUUUAUAAAUGAUCCCCUCUAAAGAAAAAAUGUAAAUUCAUGGUGAGUUUUGUAAGCCUCAAUUGUUUCACCUGUGAAAUAGAAUCAGUAACCCCUACCUCCUACGUCUACUACAUGUUUAUGAGAUAAUGGCUGUAAAUGUAUUUCACAAACUGUAAAGUGUUGCACGUGUAUAAAUGACCACCAUUAGGUUAAACCACCUGAUAUUCAGUCAUUUUAGAACUACUACAAAACAGAAAUUUCACAUGGUUCGACCUAAAACUAUCAUUUUUUUGUGAUUAUCAACAUUAGGCUGACAAAUCGCAUUUGUGGAGAUUUCAGAAAAAGGUAGGUUUAAAAAUGGACUUUUGGGGAUCCCUGGGUGGCUCAGUGGUUUAGCGCCUGCCUUUGGCCCAGGGCGUGAUCCUGGAGCCCCGGGAUCGAGUCCCAUGUCGGGCUCCCUGCAUGGAGCCUGCUUCUCCCUCUGCCUGUGUCUCUGCCUCUCUCUCUCUCUCUCUCUCUCUCUCUCUCUCUGUGUGUGUGAUCCUCAUGAAUAGAUAAAUAAAAUCUUUAAGAGAAAUAAAUAAAAAUGGACU